rnacentral:tRNA from 1 species
GUUUUAAUAAUUUAAUAAAAAUAUUGGUCUUGUAAACCAAAAAUAAGGACAAACCUUUUAAAACU